GAGUCCCGGAGCGGUGAGCGGCGCCGUCGGGACCCUCGGCCUGCGCGGCAGGAAGAGGCGGCCACCGCGGAACCACGCACCGCUCAGGUCCCGAACUUUUUAACUCCCCGCGGCGCCUGGCGCUCACCGCACCCCCUGUGUCCCGGCUCAGGCGCCCCCGCGUCGCACCCUUGGGCCCAGGCGCCCGCAGGCGCCAAAACAGGUUGUGUGACCUGGCGCCGCCGCUCGGGCUCCGCGCGCGCCCCCGCGCCGCCCCGCAGCCUCCCCCGCCGCGCGCUCGCACCCGGCCGCACGUGCGCCCCUCCAGUCUCCCCCGAACCCGGGGCUCCGCGCCCUCCCAACCCGCCUCCUGCCCGCUCUCUCGAGUCCCCGUAAACUUCCUUCGGGCCUUAAGGCCCAGGAGCCUCGCAGAGACCUUCCGAGCGGAGGGAGCGGCCCGCGAGCCCCAAGCGCUGUGGCCCAAGCUGGGGGGAGGUGCAGCGGGGGGCGAUCUGUCCGUGUUCACCGAGGCCUCCGCGCGCGGCGGGGGUGUCCCCGCGCAGCCCUGGAGCUGCAGCGCCCCCUCGGCCGAGCCGGAGGCUCCCGGGUGUCCGAGUCGGGUAGGGGGUGGGGUCGGGGCCCGCGGGUCCCGGCAGCGAAGGGAGGGGCGGCGGCACCUUUGUGGCGGAUGCUGCGCUUCCAGUCCUUGGCCGUCUCGCGGCCGCUGACGAACUGGAACUCGUUGGGCGUGAGCCACUCGCCGCGGUGGCGGAUGGACGGGCCCUUGCUGCCCUGGCAGAGUUUGCGCACGUAGAGCAGCGCGCGGUUGGCGCCGCACUCCACCUCGAUGCACGGCUCGCCGUUGUCCAGCAGCGGCUGGAAAUCCGGGGCCGCGGCCGCGGUGGCCGAGAAGCGCUCGAGGGCCAGCGGGUCCCUGGGCAGGUGGAGGUGCGGGGCGGCCUCGUGCAGGCUGAGGUAGGCGCGCGGGGGGCGGAGCGGCGGGGCCAGCAGAGCCUCGUAACCGGCGGCCGAGGCGGGCAGCGAGGCGGCCGGGGGGAGGGCGGCCGCCGCGGGCAGUGGCGCCAGGUAGCCUGGCAGCGGCGGCAGCGGCAGCGCGGCCAGGGUCGGGUGGAACGUGGCCAGAGCCAGGGCCAGGUCCUCGCGGCCCGGGAACUCCUUCUUGACCGCCGGCAUGGCGCCCCGGUGGCUCCGCAGCCCCGCUCUCCGCCGGCGGCAGCAACUUAUUCCGGCCCGGGCUGGAGUUGGGUCGCGGGGGCCGGGGAGGCGCCUGGCCGCGCGCCCACGCCGUCCGCUAGUGCGCCCCGGCGCCCGCAGCCGCCGCCUACGCGCCGCCCGCCAGGCCUCCCCGGACUGCCCAGCCGGCCGGCGGGGCCUCAGAGGCCGGAGACAUGGAGCUGCUAUCGAUCCCGGAUCGACUCGCCGAGCGCCGCAGUUCCAGGGCCUCGGGGCUCCCCGGGGCGUCUGGAGUCCCGCGCCCCGGCCACCAGCGCCCGCGCCCGGGGCAGUCCCACGCCCGGCUCGCCGACCCACCCGCCAGGCCGAGCCCGGCAGCGAGGAGUCGCGGAGUCCCCGCCCCUCUCGGGGGUCCCAAGCCCCCGCCCCGCCGCCCGGGCCGCGUCAGUCGUGCACCCGCGUCCACUGGCGCGCGCCCGCCCGGCGGGGACUUGGGAGACUCCGCCGCCGACGCCGCCGCCACAACUUGGCCCAUUUAAACGGCCCCGGCGCGGCGGGCGGCGCGGGCUCCCGCGGGGGGUGCGUGACGGCCGACUCGGGGCAUCCGGCGGCGGCAGCGGGACAGGGCUGCGGCCCCCGGCACUAUCCCGAGUACCGAGUCACUGCGAGCGGCUGGAAUCCAGGACUCCGCGCGGGACUGGGAUGGGCUGGGCUGGUCGCGGACCGGGCUCCUCUCGGAGGGAGGGAGCUGGGGGCUGCUCGCCGGGGUGUGAGCGUGCGCCGGCGGCUCUGGGACUUUGCGCAGCGAAUCUGAUGGAGUGAGUUCGCCCGAGCCACGGAGUUCCUGUUCAGUCUUUUGCAGAAGACGCUGAGACAGAAAGGUCAAGUAACUCUCCUGAAGUCACACAGCUGUUUCAAAUGCAGGAUGUCUCACACCAGGACCGCGCCAGGACCAUGGUGUGGGGCAAGAGCUUCCUGUCACCCCACACCUCCCAGCAGGAAGGUCAGUCUGGGCCCCAGUCCCUGGUUCCUGGUGAGCUUCCCAUCACCCCCCACCUCCCUGCGUGCCCAGAUCGGCAUUGCAUCUGGAGCGUUCCGAAGAGAAACACAACCUGGGGGCGUUGGUAACAGCAGCCAACCCGCGGAGUGAGGUCUGGGCCAGGAGUGCUCUGCUCAGGACACCAGCACAUCCCUGACCCCAGCUGUGGCUGCCAGUGAGUUCCUGUGCCUUCCUCUCCUGAAGUCUGUGUCUUCUCCCAGGUCUGAUACCAUGUGGAAAGUCUGCUCCUGGGGCCAGCUGGAGGCCAUGUGGACUGGCCCUGAGUGCCCACUGUCUGGAUGCAGCCCUGACCCUACUGCCCGUGUGUGGGCUACUAGGUUCACCUGCACCUGACCCUCCUUCUAGGUUCGCCUGCACCUGACUCCCUGAUGUUCACACAGUGAUUUGGAGAGGGAGGCUGGGGAGGCGCAGGUCUGCAUGGCAGUGCCUCUCAGGGUCUGAGGCCCUUGGGCCAGGCCUCUCCUCUGACCUGGGCCAGCAGAGGGGCCUCCUUUCCCUUCCAAGAGCCCUCCCCUGUUCACCAGCAUCUCAUCAUGCUCAGGCCCACAGUGUGGUUAAGGAGGGGCAUGGGGCUGGCCCUGGGUUUCUGGCUGGGUGUGGGGGCCUACCCGGGGCCCAUGGUGUCUUCCAGAAAAGACCCUGACUGGGUCCAAAGCUGGAGGCACCCCUCUAUCCUCACUGUCCACUCCCUGAUGUUCUGGAGGUCCCUCCAGGGGCUGGGUGAGGAGGCCUUCCCCACCACCUCCUUGUCUUCCUGGGAAGCAGGCACCCGUUCAGAGGCCACGUUCCCACAGGACCAGGCUCCUCACCCCCAGCAUCACCCUUUUCCACGGGGUUGUGCCCCUUCCUUGGUCCUGUCCACUCACACACACCCGUGUCCGUGUCCAUGUUCACACCUGUUCUGUGUCCACUCCCACACACCUGUGUCCACUCCCACACCUGUGUCUCGUGUCCACUCGCUCACACCUGUACUGUCCGUGCCCACUCACACGUGUCCCGUGUCCACUCGCUCACACCCGUGUCUCAUGCCCGCUGGCUUACACCAGUCCCGUGUUCACUGGCGCACCUGUGUCCCAUGUCUUGUGUCUGCUCGCACAUCUGUGUGAUGUGUUCACUUGCUCACACGUGUCCUCCACUACCACACCUGUGUCCCAUGUCCACUCACACACCUGUCUUGGUCUGGGACACCUGGGCCCCACUCUCCCCUGCACUCCUCAGGCUGGCGGCAGAGGCCAGAGGAACGGAGUUCUGGCGCUGGAAUCAUCCUGAGCGAGGCAGGGACCUGGCGGUGUGGACUCCACCGCCCCUCCUCCGGCCCACCGAGCCCCGCCUGCCUGGGCCUUGGUGCCUCUGUCGCUGCUCCGGGUCCCCCUGCUGGGGCCCCUCCGCCGCUGGGCUGAGGCUGGAGCCUGCCUCCCGCCGCCAGAGGGAGGAGGUCAUAAAUAACCCUGGGGCUGCCAUGGAGCAGACGGUGACCCCAGACGUCCUGGGGGAGUGUGGGGGCGCCAGGGGCCGCUGCCCCAGCCCGCAUGCCGCCUCCGCCAUCCGGGAGUGCCUGCCCAGGCUCCCCAGCAUUUCUCUUAGAGCCCUUCUCAUCCAUCCCCUCAUCAAUCAAUCAACCAUUUAUUGAGCCCAGAUGUGGUACAGCCCCAGCCGGAGAUGACCCAGAGGUGGGGUGGGGAGGAGAGAGAUGGGGAAGCUGAGUCCGGGGCCACAGGUGCAGCCAGGAGGUGCAGGUGAGCAGCGCUCAGACCAGCCUGUCAGCCUCAGUCCUGAGCUUACUUCUGGUGAUGGAGGGAGAUAUACAGAAAAGAUCCUGCAGCCUGCAGGUGUGGCACAGCUGAUCUUGGGCCAAGGAUGCACAGCUGUGUGUGUGCCUGGCCACCGGCAAGGGCACGUGGGCUCAGAAGCACAGGUGUGCCCACACCCUGCGUGCCUGUGUGUGGCGCAGCAGCUCCCGACGCGCGCAGGACACACACACAGCACAGACAGACCCUCCCAUGGCCACACGGACAAAGAUGGCUUCACUAUAGACACCGGUGCAGACAGGAUGUGCACUGCUUUCCAAGGCCUGUGCGCAACACAGACUCAGGGCCUGUGGGCAUCAGCACCGCCCAGACCCAGGCACACGUGAUCCUCAGCCAAGGUGGCCUGUCCAGUCCUGGUGCUGUUGGAUGGAAAGGCUAACCUGGGAGGUCAGGGGCUGUGGUAUAUCAGCUGGGCUCCCUCGGACGCUCCUGCAGAAGUGGCCAGGACCUCAGGAACGCACCUGCUCCUGGUCAGACAGGAGGGGCUGCCGUGAUGCAACUUGCCCGUGCCUUUGGGUGCUGUGAGCUGGCUGCGUGCCACGUCGUUUCGAGGACGCAAGAAGGUGUUUCCAAGUCCAGUCUGUCCACCGACCUGAACCUUUACCAUUGAAAGAACAAAGGGGUGGGGCCCGAGGGACCCUUCCCUGCCGUCCCGUGGUGUGUAGUCAGGGAUGCUCCUGCAGACACACAGGUGGGCUCUGACUGCCAGAUCGCAGGGGCGGUGCCGUGGUCCUCACCUGCCAUGUCACUAGCGUGCUGACGCAGACACCGGCGAGAGCUACAGUGCUCGGCCCGGCACAUCCCAGACAAUUCCUCUGUAAAUGCUGCAGCAGCCAGAGGCCCCAGCACCUUGAGGUUAAGCAAAGAGAAGGAAUAGAGUUCUCCAGAGCCCCAAGGAGCGGGAGGGUCUGUCCCAAUGGAUGGGCUCAGCCAAUUUCACCCUCUCCUCCCCCUGCCAACACUGCGGCCUGCAGCCUGGACCUGGCCCGGGUUGUGGAGGGGACCGGGGAUGCAGCUGCCACCUGCUGGGCGGACGUGGGCCUAGGUGGUCCUCAGCCCUCAUGACAGGAGCCCCCGAAGCACUGUUGCGGCACCCUCUCUGACAUUGGGUGGGAGACUCUGGGAGCCGAGUGCAGAGCCAGGGCCCAGCACGAAGGCCUUGGGCUCCAGUCCGUGUGCCCCACAUCCCUACAUGAGUGAGGGUGGAGGGAUGGUGCCUCUGCCACGGCCACGGUGCCGCCGUCCACGUCAGCUCACUCUCAGCACAGGUGCUGUGUGACGGCCUCGGGCCACACCGCUUGUUCUGAGGCCCCUAGCAGGUCGGGCUUGUGCUGGCUGCACAUUGGCUGGUGAGCUUGGCGGGUCUGUGGGCACGGAGAGACCAGAACGUGCGUAACAGGCCCGAUGAGGGUGCCAGGCUGUGGCGACCCCCGAGCUUCAGAGGAGAGGGGCACCAGCCGGGGGCCCUGCACAGGCAGCCUCAGGUGCGAGGAGCUGGAGCCCAGGCCAGCUGGGGAGGGGUGGGGUGCCGUGGCUGGAAGUUGCUGUUCUCAGACCUGGUUCUGAGACCCUCUCCAACUGCAUGGGGGGGUCCAGGCUGGACCCCAGAUGUGACGGUGUAUGUGCUGGGAUGGGAGCCCCCUGAGAGCAGGGCUUUUGUUAAUUCACCGGCAAUCCCACAUGUCUGGCACGAGAUAGGUGCUCAGUCAGUGAAAACCACACACGGGGUCCUCCAUUGUGUCCAGGGGAGGGUGGGCCCUGCUCACAGCCAGACUCCUAGCCCUGGGCAGCCCUGCUGCCUGCCUGCUCCUUCCACUCCUACCACCUGCCCAGGUGGGACUCUGCCUGCCUUCCUGUCCCCAGUGCUCUGUAGGAGUUUGACCACAGGUAUCCUCUUCAUCAGAGAGAGGAAAGCUCACGAUCUGGGAGAACUCCAGGCCUGGCCCAGUGAAGACGUCCUUAUCUUCAGCAGACAUUGCCCAGUGCAAGGGGAGGUCAGUCUCAGGAGACAGUCUCCUGGACAGUGGCGUGGCAUCUGUCCUAAGGCCUUGCCUGCAGCACAGGGUGCCACAGAGGUCCCCUGUGACAGAGCCUCAUGGCUGGGGCAGGCGGGGGUCGCACCUGCUCCUGCAUGAAGAGGCAGAUAAAGACCCACAGCAUGGUCUCUGGGGUCCCACAUCCCAGGUAGAGAAUGACCCAGGUCGCUGGCGUCUGUGCCAUCUCUGCUCCACUGACCACUCAUGGGGGUCCUGGAGAUCCUGACACCGGUGGCCGGGGAGCAGCAGCCCAGGCACAGGCCCCAGUGCACAUGCAGAUCCCACCGUGUCUGCACAAGGCCUUGCCCCAACGAGGCCUGGGUGCCGUGUGAGGGCCGGGACGCUAACACAGCGGAGGGUACCCACGCGUGAGCUGCUCUGGGGUCCCUCCCCGUGUUUCUUCCUGUAAUGAAACUUGUACCCAAAUGGGAUAUGCAGGGUUGCACUGUGCAGUCGCUGUGUGUUUUAGGGUCUCAUACCCGUGUGCGCCAGCAGGACCACAGCUGUGACCGGCUGCUCCAGAAGAAGUGGGUGGGUUGAGACCCCACCGGCAGGGUCACUGGGGGUAGCAGGCCCUCUGUCAGCACUGACUUCUGUAUCAUGUCAGGGAUUUUUAGGGCGGCAAGCUCAGGUGGACAGGCAGUUUUAUUCUGUUUCCCAUGUCAAGUCCAGCCCCAGACUGACUUUCUGAGGUCACAGACGGAGCCUCACCCCAUCCAAGGCGGUGUCCUGGACUCCCACUGUGCUCCCCAGAGGGCAGGGUGAGUGCGUGGCAUCCUUUUGGCGGGCGUGGGUGCCUCUGUGGACCUGGCGUGAGGCUUCUCUGUUUCUGAGUCUCCUAUGGACCAUCUGUCUUCUGUGUGGCUGCUGAGGAAUCACACUGGGGUGGCCGUGCCGGUGGCUGAAUGAGAACAGGACCCCCAUGCUGCACAGCCCUGCUUAACGCGGGGGUGGCCCCAGAAGCGGGUGGGCGAGGCUGGGCAGCAGGGAUUGGCUGAAAUCAUAUGCAGAGCCCAAGAGGCAGGGGAAAGGCGGCAAUUUCAGGGUCCCUUUGUUCGCCAGGUACCUGGGGCCCAGCCCGGGCGGCAGGAGGGACUCAGCCCCUCGCCCAGGCAGGAAGGGUCCCAAGCAGAGGCCCCUCCCUCAGGCACUCCCCAGCCCACACCUGCAGCACUGGGACCAAGACUAAUAAAACACCAGCCUCACGGAAGACAGCUUUAUCUUGUUGAUCGGAAGUCUGCCAGCCCAAUUUAUGAUGGAACAUAAGAUCUCUAAAUCUGAAUUUACGCUCUGUAGCGUAACGAGAGGUCAAUAAGAUUAAACGGGGGCUCAGGAGAGGACCAGCGUCAGGCUCACUGCGAGGUGCUGCACAGAAAACCCACAGCCAGAGCCCCUGGGCCCAGCCCAGGCAAGACCAGAAAAGGAGGGGGCAGGUGGGAGACCAGCCUGGGGCUCCCGGGAAGCCCACGGGAUGGAGGCGGGAGAGCCAGGAGGCCUGGGGCAACCCUGGGACGGUUCCUGGAUCGAGGAGAGCAGGGGGGUGAUGAGGGUUCCCUCAGGGCUGGGGAGCCUUCUCCUGGUCUCAGACCCACCCCCCUUCAGCUCCCAAGCCCUGGGUGCCCCUGGCUCUGAGGACAGUUGGGAAUCUUCCCUGAGGCAGGUUCAAGGACAGAGCUCUGACCCUGGCCCAGGGCUGCUUUGGGUGCCUAUGAACUCGGCUUCUGGCUCAGAGCAGUUCCCUGCACCCCUUCCUGAGCCCUCUGUCCUCUGGAACCCGUGGGCAGGGUGAGGGACGGGUGUUCCUUCUGGGUGGGGGCCUGGGCGCCCAGCCAGCACGACGCUGGCUUGCUGAGCUUAGGGCAGACCCCGACUUCAGAAUUUAUACAAAUAAAUGCAAUGAAAAGUGCUGGCAACCUGAUCUGAUUACAGAGUCAUUCAUUCUCUGGUCGUUAAUAAUUUGUGCAAUAAAGGACUGCAGCCGCUCAGUGCGGGGGAGGCUGUGGCCCAACCUUCCCUCGGCGCCGGCCCCGGGAGCUGGAAGCAUAAAUUAUUAGUUUCUUAUCGCUGGGCCUGCCAUCGCUCAUGCUGCCAGGGCCUGGCGGGAGCUGGUGGCUGUUCUGCUGCCCGCCCUGGCCGGCUCAGGGCCGGCUCUCAGCCGUCGCCUGGGGCCCUUUGUCACCCCCACCCUGGCCCCCCAGGUGUGGGAGCCCCAGAGCCUGCUCAGGCCUGGAGGCUGCUGCUGGAGCCGGCAACUCUGGAAGCCAGAAAGGUGGGGCUUUAGUGCCUGUCCUCAGACCCUCAGGUAACCAAAGCCAAAUUACUCCCUGUUGGAAACACAACCUCACAUACCGGGCCACAGCACGGACACCCACGACAGCAGGCCACAGCACGGACACCCACGGCAGUGGCCCACAGCACGGACACUCACAGCAUGGACAGCAGCCCAGAGGGACCCUUGCCCAGACCCUGACCAGGGGGAAGAGACAGUUGUGUCUGGGUUUGUCAGUCCUCUGGUUGUGGCAGGGCCCCUCUGGGUGGGACUCGGCACCUGUACCUGGGAGCACCUGCUCAGAUGAGGGAGUGGGAGCAGGAACAGCGCUCAUGCUCUCUCCCUGUGUCCAGGGCUGGGGCCCUGGUCUGGCGGGUAGGCAUAGGGCACCUCCUGCCCUCUCAUGCCCUCAUACACCUGCUGCUGGGGUUCCCUGUCCCACCCCAAAAGGGAGAAGCCAAGGCUGAGGCAAGGUUGGAAAAUCAGGGUGGGGACUCUGGAAUCCAGACAUCCCGACAGAGGAUGCAGGAGGAAUCGGCGUGAGCGCAGGGUAAACUCACGGACCCGAACUCUCAGAUGUGCUUCCUGGGCUCAGCUUCCCCUUUCUGGAGGGCUGGGGGUUCCAGAACCUUGCCUUGAAUUUGUGAGGAUGGUGGGACCUGGAGGGCAGGUGGCGCAGAUGGUGUGAGCCCUCACCCCAGGACGCUGUGCCCACUUCUGGCUGUGCAGCCUUGGGAAGGCUUCUGACUUCUCUGAACCUCAAUCUGUAAAAUGGGAAUGAGAAUGAAACAAGAUGAAAUUAACAUGCAUUGAGCGUGUGGGGUGGGGCAGAGACAGCCACCUUGCAGCUGGUGAGGCCCUUACAGCAUCUGGUCCUGCCACCUCGCAGCUGGUGAGGCCCUCACAGCAUCUGGUCCCGGAGCCCACACAGCCCUUUGCAGAGACUGCCCUACCCACGUGCAAGCGUUUCGCCCUCUUCCCACGGGCGACCCCAGCUUGGCCGCAUGCGUUUUUGCUCAGAACGUCCCCACCUAUGUCCCACCUGCCCUCUGGCUUCGGGAGUGCUGGGCGCAGUGGUGGCAGGUGCCUCGGUGCCCUUGGACUUGCCCGGUCGUCUGUUGCUUCUGAGGCGGCCCCGUUGAUGGGUGCUCCUUCUCUUCUGGGUGCAUUUUCCUUUUCCUGCUUCCUCGCAUGCCUGGUGAUUUUUGAAUGGGUGACAGGGAUUGUGAAUUUUGCUGGGUGCUGACUAUUUUUGUAGCAAAGCUGAGAAAAGCUUACUUUGCUCAGGACUCCAGGAAGUUACUUGGAAGCUGUUUGGUCCUUUGGGGUCUUGCUUUUAAGCCCUGCUGGGAGGACCAAGGCAGCUUGUAGUCUGGGGCUGACUGUGCCCUCCUUUACCAGGGCACGGCCCUGCUUGGUGCUCUGCCCAGGGGCUGAGGUGCCCCAGCCUGGCUGGUGGACCACGGACCUUCCACGGUUCCCUCUGGUGAUCUCGGGUGGUUCUCCUCACCUUCUGUAGUUGCCUUUCUUUUUUUCUUUUUCUUUCUUCUUUUUUUUUUUUUUUUGAGACGGAGUUUUACUCUUGUUGCCCAGGCUGGGGUGCAGUGGUGCGAUCUUGGCUCUCCA
rnacentral:lncRNA from 1 species